rnacentral:rRNA from 1 species
GAUGAACGCUGGCGGCGUGCCUAAUACAUGCAAGUCGAGCGAACAGACGAGGAGCUUGCUCCUCUGACGUUAGCGGCGGACGGGUGAGUAACACGUGGAUAACCUACCUAUAAGACUGGGAUAACUUCGGGAAACCGGAGCUAAUACCGGAUAAUAUAUUGAACCGCAUGGUUCAAUAGUGAAAGACGGUUUUGCUGUCACUUAUAGAUGGAUCCGCGCCGCAUUAGCUAGUUGGUAAGGUAACGGCUUACCAAGGCAACGUUGCGUAGCCGACCUGAGAGGGUGAUCGGCCACACUGGAACUGAGACACGGUCCAGACUCCUACGGGAGGCAGCAGUAGGGAAUCUUCCGCAAAGGGCGAAAGCCUGACGGAGCAACGCCGCGUGAGUGAUGUAGGUCUUCGGAUCGUAAAACUCUGUUAUUAGGGAAGAACAAAUGUGUAAGUAACUAUGCACGUCUUGACGGUACCUAAUCAGAAAGCCACGGCUAACUACGUG